GAGCCACUGACACGCCGCCAGCACAAUGAUGAUGUCACUGACUCUACUGCUGGGCACCCUGGGGCUCCUUGUUCAGGGUUCAUCAGGAGAAAUCAUCCUGACUCAGUCUCCUGGAUCUCAGUCUGCUGCUCCAGGACAGACUGUCACCAUUGGAUGUAAAGCCAGUAGAGGCAUAAGUGAUGACAUUGACUGGUAUCUUCAGAAACCUGGAGAAGCUCCUAAACUCCUGAUUUAUGAUACAACAGUUCGUCAGUCUGGAGUUUCAGAUCGUUUCAGUGCAAGUGUAUCUGGGACUGAUUUCACUCUGACCAUCAGUAGAGUUCAGACUGAAGAUGCAGGAGUCUAUUAUUGUCAGCAGCAUAACAGCUUCCCGGUCACACAGUGA